UAAAAUGCGAUGAUCAGGAAAAGUAAACUAUAGGAAACAAACAGAGAGAGGCUUUAUAGCUGAGAGAGCUUUAUGUUGAAAUAUAGUUGAAGUGCCCCUGUGAGCAGUAAGCCGAAACUUAGUAGGCCAUACGGGUGCUCCCGUUAUAGAGCUAUGGCAUGCAAGUGCUUGAUAGAGAUGGACGUUUACGUCUAAUCAGAGUGGAACCGCAGAAGUAAAACUUCUGCCUCUGUA
rnacentral:ncRNA from 1 species